rnacentral:ncRNA from 2 species
GGUCCAGAGUUGCGGCGGGUUUCACAUGGCCCCGGGACGUCAUCGCCGCACGGCAACCGCGGUUCGAGCCUCGGUGCCCUCCCGGGAAGACCGGCCACCGCCGGCAUCUCCGGCGGUCGGAAGAACUCGAC